rnacentral:rRNA from 1 species
AGAGUUUGAUCAUGGCUCAGAUUGAACGCUGGCGGCAGGCCUAACACAUGCAAGUCGAGCGGUAGCACAGAGAGCUUGCUCUCGGGUGACGAGCGGCGGACGGGUGAGUAAUGUCUGGGAAACUGCCUGAUGGAGGGGGAUAACUACUGGAAACGGUAGCUAAUACCGCAUAAUGUCGCAAGACCAAAGUGGGGGACCUUCGGGCCUCAUGCCAUCAGAUGUGCCCAGAUGGGAUUAGCUAGUAGGUGGGGUAAUGGCUCACCUAGGCGACGAUCCCUAGCUGGUCUGAGAGGAUGACCAGCCACACUGGAACUGAGACACGGUCCAGACUCCUACGGGAGGCAGCAGUGGGGAAUAUUGCACAAUGGGCGCAAGCCUGAUGCAGCCAUGCCGCGUGUGUGAAGAAGGCCUUCGGGUUGUAAAGCACUUUCAGCGGGGAGGAAGGCGGUGAGGUUAAUAACCUCAGCGAUUGACGUUACCCGCAGAAGAAGCACCGGCUAACUCCGUGCCAGCAGCCGCGGUAAUACGGAGGGUGCAAGCGUUAAUCGGAAUUACUGGGCGUAAAGCGCACGCAGGCGGUCUGUCAAGUCGGAUGUGAAAUCCCCGGGCUCAACCUGGGAACUGCAUUCGAAACUGGCAGGCUAGAGUCUUGUAGAGGGGGGUAGAAUUCCAGGUGUAGCGGUGAAAUGCGUAGAGAUCUGGAGGAAUACCGGUGGCGAAGGCGGCCCCCUGGACAAAGACUGACGCUCAGGUGCGAAAGCGUGGGGAGCAAACAGGAUUAGAUACCCUGGUAGUCCACGCCGUAAACGAUGUCGAUUUGGAGGUUGUGCCCUUGAGGCGUGGCUUCCGGAGCUAACGCGUUAAAUCGACCGCCUGGGGAGUACGGCCGCAAGGUUAAAACUCAAAUGAAUUGACGGGGGCCCGCACAAGCGGUGGAGCAUGUGGUUUAAUUCGAUGCAACGCGAAGAACCUUACCUGGUCUUGACAUCCACAGAACUUUCCAGAGAUGGAUUGGUGCCUUCGGGAACUGUGAGACAGGUGCUGCAUGGCUGUCGUCAGCUCGUGUUGUGAAAUGUUGGGUUAAGUCCCGCAACGAGCGCAACCCUUAUCCUUUGUUGCCAGCGGUUAGGCCGGGAACUCAAAGGAGACUGCCAGUGAUAAACUGGAGGAAGGUGGGGAUGACGUCAAGUCAUCAUGGCCCUUACGACCAGGGCUACACACGUGCUACAAUGGCAUAUACAAAGAGAAGCGACCUCGCGAGAGCAAGCGGACCUCAUAAAGUAUGUCGUAGUCCGGAUUGGAGUCUGCAACUCGACUCCAUGAAGUCGGAAUCGCUAGUAAUCGUAGAUCAGAAUGCUACGGUGAAUACGUUCCCGGGCCUUGUACACACCGCCCGUCACACCAUGGGAGUGGGUUGCAAAAGAAGUAGGUAGCUUAACCUUCGGGAGGGCGCUUACCACUUUGUGAUUCAUGACUGGGGUGAAGUCGUAACAAGGUAACCGUAGGGGAACCUGCGGUUG